CUGUGUACUAGCCAAGCAUCUGUGAUUAGGCCAAGCGUCUGUGGUGAGCUUUGGAUAUAUGGACAUAGCCUACAUGGGCAGGGUUUGUUUUCAUAUUUUGGCUAGAAACAUUGAAAUAAUCUUAAAAUCUACACAAACACCUAUUUUAUUUCCAUUUGACAAGCUUUACUAAAAUAAAUCAUGAAUAUCUUGAAUAAGUACAUGACAAACUUUCUAUUUUUUAUCUUAUAUAAAUAAGGACAAUAACACCUUGAAAUAGUGGAUUAAAUAAAGUAAACCAUUUAGUCUUUACGACUUUACUUUUAAAGCUUAUCACCAUUUACUUUGCCCACUACAAAAAUUGCUUGAAAUAUCUUUUUAGACAAAUUUUGUACCAAACCCGAUGGGCUUUUUGAAAUCAUAAGUCAAAAUACAGGAGAUUUUAUAGUGUUCAAAUAUUUUAUAGUGUUGCUGCG